UCAUAGCGUAAUUUUAUACUUAAAAAAAAUUGAAUUGUACAACAGCAUAUAAAUAUUUAAUGUAGAAAUUUACACCUGUAAGCUAAUAACCUAUGUAGUUGAUGCUUAACUAAUAAUAAAAAAAAAAAAAAAAAAUAAUAUGGACGGAGUGCAGCGAGUAAAAUAGCAAAUAAGUCAAAAUCAAUUCCAUAAUGUGCAUUGGCCGUUGUAAUGUAUUUUUAAUUUUCAGGGACUAAUUGAAAUCGUUUACAGAACAAAAAUACGGCGAGAACGCGUACCUGAUCGCCUUAACGGCUAAACCUUGAUUUUUGAAAAAGUAUUUUUUAGUGACUAUUGAAAAAAGAGGCAAAAUAAAUUGGGUCAAACGGUAAUCAAUCAGUCAAGAAAAUAGGCACUUGUUGUCGAUAUUUUCUGCAUAUCGAUUCAAACUUUUCAAGUCAAAUAUCGUAUAGUCUGCGAAAGUGUGAACUAUUGUUCUUACACAGACUUAAUUGUUACCUAACUAUAUUUCAAGUUUAUUUUGUUAGUUGACCUACUCACCUUUGUGAAAAAUGAUCAUAUUGACUUACUAUACCUUUUACUCGCACACUGACCAUAUAAAUACGUUAUAUACAUUAUAAUAUUUUAUAAUUAACUAAUUUUCACUAUAGAAAACAUAUUUCCCGAAGGUAUUUUAAAUAACCAAGAUUUUGCGUGUUAGGCGCGAAGACGUAUAACAUGUUUUGUUUUUUUUAGUACAAUUUUGAGGGGGAAAAAAUAUUAAUUUACUCACUUACCGCAUGCCGACGAUUUUAAAAUUGUAUGACUCUAAUAUCCACGAAUAGUGGAGGUGUGAUACAAUAUUAGUAGUACCUUUUAAGUAUUGUUUGGGUGAUAUCAUUUUCAUCGUUCGUUAAUGUUUACAUCGAAUCUAUAUUUUGAUUUCAGUUAUUGGCCGAAAAACAACAGUAUAAUGAACAGGUACAAAAAACAAAACAUUUUUUUUUUUCUUAAAUAUUCUCGUUAAAUAUUAAUUUUCAUUUUAACUUUUAACACAACAGGUAGGUACUAAUAGUUGAGUUGUUGGCGGUACCUAUUGUAACCGCUGCCGCGAGUGGUGUAAAACAGUAAACAUGUAGGUAUGCGGUAUACGUUUCUAUACUUAACCUCACCUAACCUAUAGUAUAGGUAACAUGUAUUUGUCUACUACCUACAAUCGAUUACAUUGUGAUUACGUUGGUGUCGGUAAUUAUUAUUGGGAUAGUAAUGUGGUGCUACAAAGUGAUUAUUUUAAACACUAAUUUUCUCGAAAAGCAUUAACGUUAGGUUAGAACAAAAAAAGUUAGAAACGAUAAUAUGAUAUACGUUCUACAGUGUUGUGAUUUAUAAUCAUUUUUCUUUAUUGGUUUUUACGGACGUCAGCAACUUUGAUGGCCAGCGAAUAUUAUUUCCGAUAAUUCCUAGUGCGGUCUCUCAACAAUGUUCGACGAACAGGUGACUCCGGGUGUACACCAUACACCCAUAGUUAUAAGUAACAACUGCACGCAACAGAUUAUAAUACAGUCGGAUUUGGUUCGCUCGAAGUCGAAGGGACCGGACAAAAAGUUCGGGUUGUCCAAGGAUGAAUACAAUUACAGGAAAUUCUAGCCACCCGAUGAGGACCGGGAAAAAGUUGGAGGCAUCGUACGAUUUCGUGUUAACCAAGUACGACGGGACAGUAUAUUGUUUUCCGAUAAAAUAUGUGCUAUAUAAAAAAUUAUAGAACAAUAUAUCAUACAGUACAUACGCGGCAAGUGUACACAAGAUAAUAUGUGGCGAUGUUUCCUGUUUGCUCAAAUGGUUAUAAAUCAUGAUAAGCCUGCAGCGAAUUUCCGAUUUGUAUUCGAUAACAACAACAUACGAUUGUCAUACUAUAUCAAUUAAAAAGUCACGUCAUCGUAAAAUAAAAUUAAAUAAAUAAUUAAAAUACAUGUACCACAAUAAUCGUAUUGCCCAUUGAUAACUUGAUAAAUUAUAACGAUACCUCCCCAUAAUAAUAUAAUUAGAAUAGGUAUAAUAGGCGCUAGGUGUGAAGCGAUUAUUAGAUAAUAUAUUGGAGGGCAUCCGCAUGUUGUUCCAAAUAAUAUGUGAAAGUACCUAACUACCACUUGAAAGUUUCAGACCAUGCAUACCAUGCAUACCGGUAUAAGUAGGUACUUAAAUUAUUUGCUAAGUACUUGAAUGUGGACCGCCUCUUAUAGAUUCAUUUUUUUUGUUUUGGCCCCGGGCUUGUAGACAACCCUUUUUUUGGUUAAAAAAAUAUAAUGAGACAUAAUAUAUAUAUUGUAUAUUCGUAAAGGGGGGGGGGGAGUUUUCAGAAAUUUACGAAAAGUCAGAAAUUCCUAGUACUUAAUCAUUAUCAGGGUGAAAAUCGGGUUAAAUUCGGAUAAAUCGUUAUUCUAUUUUAUACGUCAUAUAAAAUAUAUAUAUUUAUAAUAUACCUCGAGAAUCAAUAGCUCAAUGAUUCACAUUGACGAGAUGCGCCUCCCCCCCUCCUUGGACCAUUUUAAUUUUGAGGGUGCAAUACUUUAGUCACUAUGUUUUUAAACUUUGUGAGUGUUAUACAUAGUAAUGACGUACGAGUAUAACUGACAACUGUGUUCAAUGAAAUUAAUAAUUUAAUCGUCAUCAAACACCAAAUGUAGUAAUUGUACUUGUAGAAUUUAUAUUUUUAGUAGGUAUUUAUUCAUUAAAUCUUUAAAUAAUGUUUAAACGCGUCAUUAGGUCAGUAUUAGUUCUAUAUAUCCUACUUAGGACUUGGGUAACUUAGAAACUGUUUAAAGACAGUAGGCUGGCUUAUAAGUAGGGGCGUACCUAUACCUAAUGU